GCUGCUGCUGGGAGGAGGAGGAGGGAGGAGAGGAAAAAGAAGAAGGAGAAGAAGUAGAGGAGAUGCUCCUGGAAGCGCCGAACAUGCCUCGGACCGCCCCGGGAUGGAAGAGGCACGACCGUGGGUCGCCGGCCAGGAGCGAAGGCUGGAAAAAGCCCGCCACGGCUUGGCGAUGCAGUUAUUCAAGACCAAUCACCGUCUAUCACGAUAAAAGAAAUUCAGUGAACGGCGCGGUGCAACGGUAGAGGGAUUCAUUAAACAGAGACUAAGGGCUUGCCUCAAAAAUAAACAAAGGUAAAAAUAAUGGGG